ACGGAUGCAACCAUUGGGGGAACGGGCAGGGGGGUGGAUGGGCCAUGUGUUGGGGAGGAAAGGGGCUCAACGAGCGGAGGAGGUGUCCGUCACUCCCUGAUACACACGCGCGCUCCCCCUCCACCUUUAGGUUGGGCUCGGCAGGCGGGGCGCGAGCGCGCGUGGGAGCGGGAGCGAGGGCAAAAAAUCUCUCUCGCCUCCCCCGGUGGCGAGGGAGGAGGCAGGGAGGGACAGAGGGACGUCCUCGGUGAUUCGGCGAUCGGCCGCGCGGGCUGGGGGUGAGGCUGCGGAAUCCCGAGCCGCGGAUGGGGCGGGAGAGGCAGCGCUCCCGGGACACGACGGGGUUAAGCUGGGUCGACCGCCAUUUUGAAUGGCGGGGAGGUCUCGUUGUUGCCCUGUAUCAGAAAAACCUGCCACUGAAUGUGCCUACAGGAAAAUGCAUAAGUAUUCAAGAAAAUUAUAUAAGUUGAAAUGUAAAAAUGAAUAAAGAAUUACAUGUGUAACAAUGUAGAACUAUGCCACUUUUUGAAAAAGUUGAGAAAACGUAGUUAAUUGAGAACCAGCACGUGCAUCAUGUAAGAAGAGUGCCAGUAAACACUUAAUUGUAAAGAAGUUGCUCAGACAAAUUGGAAGACAGUGAGUGGAGGAGAAACAUCUGGGUCAUCUGACACAUGCAAAAGCUCACAUAGCAGUGGGAGUAAGUGGAAGAAGACCAAGGACAGAGAUCAUCAAACUUGCACUGGCCAAGAACAAGGCAAAUAAAUUACAUGGUGUCAGUGAGUCACAAACCAAUGGCUUGGUUGCAUUUUCCUUCUUCAGUUCCCUCCACACCAUAACAUGAGUUACAAUAUUCCCUGUUUCCAGGCUCCUAUCCCACUACCCCUAUCUCCUCCCUUCUACAUCCCAUACUGAGUGCACAGCUUAGCAGAAGCUGCGCGCAACUGUCUUGCAGAAAGCCAAGCUGAUCAACACCAUCUUGUAGCUGGGGAGGCACCAGCCUCAUUCUCCAGCUGAGUUCAGAGGCCUUUUUUCUUGUUUUGUUGUGAUAUUCUCAUUAUUAGUGCUCAUAUUUGAAGAGCUGUAUUUUCUGGGGAAAAAAGGAGUGUAUACAGUCCAGGAGGCAUAGAGAAGGGAUACUGGGUGAUAGUUGCUCUAUGUGCUUUACAGUGAAGUAUGUGUAUUGUGUUUUAGUCACAUUCAAAACUUACACUGAUUAAUUGUCUUAUUUUUUGACAUAAACUAAAUCUUAAUAAGACUACAUAAGGUUAUGCAUUAGU